UACGAAGGGAGCUAGCGUUGUUCGGAAUCACUGGGCGUAAAGGGCGCGUAGGCGGCGCGACAAGUCAGGCGUGAAAGCCCCGGGCUCAACCCGGGAAUUGCGCUUGAUACUGUCGUGCUUGAGGCCGGGAGAGGAUGGCGGAAUUCCCAGUGUAGAGGUGAAAUUCGUAGAUAUUGGGAAGAACACCGGUGGCGAAGGCGGCCAUCUGGACCGGUUCUGACGCUGAGGCGCGAAAGCGUGGGGAGCAAACAGG
rnacentral:rRNA from 1 species